AGUGAACGCUGGCGGUAGGCCUAACACAUGCAAGUCGAACGGCAGCACAGUAAGAGCUUGCUCUUACGGGUGGCGAGUGGCGGACGGGUGAGGAAUACAUCGGAAUCUACUUUUUCGUGGGGGAUAACGUAGGGAAACUUACGCUAAUACCGCAUACGACCUACGGGUGAAAGCAGGGGAUCUUCGGACCUUGCGCGAUUGAAUGAGCCGAUGUCGGAUUAGCUAGUUGGCGGGGUAAAGGCCCACCAAGGCGACGAUCCGUAGCUGGUCUGAGAGGAUGAUCAGCCACACUGGAACUGCACCACGGUCCAGACUCCUACGGGAGGCGGCAGUGGGGAAUAUUGGACAAUGGGCGCAAGCCUGAUCCAGCCAUACCGCGUGGGUGAAGAAGGCCUUCGGGUUGUAAAGCCCUUUUGUUGGGAAAGAAAAGCAGCAGGUUAAUACCCCGCUGUUCUGACGGUACCCAAAGAAUAAGCACCGGCUAACUUCGUG
rnacentral:rRNA from 1 species